GGAAUCUUGCGCAAUGGCCGAAAGGCUGACGCAGCGACGCCGCGUGGGGGAGGAAGCUUUUCGGAGUGUAAACCCCUGUCAGGUGGGAAGAAGGUCCCGACGAGGAAAUGCGUUGGGGAUGCCGGUACCACCAGAGGAAGCACCGGCUAACUCCGUGCCAGCAGCCGCGGUAAUACGGAGGGUGCGAGCGUUGUUCGGAAUUAUUGGGCGUAAAGCGCACGUAGGCGGUCCGGUAAGUCUCACUGUGAAAGCCCGGGGCUCAACCCCGGGAGGCCAGGGGAUACUGUCGGACUGGAGACAGGCAGAGGCUGGUAGAAUUUCGGGUGUAGCGGUGGAAUGCGUAGAGAUCCGAAGGAAUACCGGAGGCGAAGGCGGCCAGCUGGGCCUGAUCUGACGCUGAGGUGCGAAAGCGUGGGGAGCGAAC
rnacentral:rRNA from 1 species